rnacentral:misc_RNA from 1 species
UUAAGUUCAGCGGGUACUCCUACCUGAUUUGAGGUCAAACUUUAAGAACAUUGUUCGCCUAGACGCUCUCUUCUUAUCGAUAACGUUCCAAUACGCUCAGUACAAAAAAGAUUAGCCGCAGUUGGUAAAACCUAAAACGACCGUACUUGCAUUAUACCUCAAGCACGCAGAGAAACCUCUCUUUGGAAAAAAAACAUCCA